rnacentral:rRNA from 1 species
UACGGAGGGUGCAAGCGUUGCUCGGAAUUAUUGGGCGUAAAGGGUAGGUAGGUGGUCUCAUUUGUCUGGGGUGAAAGCCUUGAGCUUAACUCGAGAAGUGCCCCAGAAACGGUGAGACUAGAGUCCUGGAGAGGGUCGUGGAAUUCCCGGUGUAGCGGUGAAAUGCGUAGAGAUCGGGAGGAACACCAGCGGCGAAAGCGGCGACCUGGACAGGUACUGACACUCAGCUACGAAAGCGUGGGGAGCAAACAGG